rnacentral:rRNA from 1 species
ACGGGGUGCAGCAGGCGCGAAACCUCCGCAAUACACGAAAGUGUGACGGGGUUACCCAAAGUGUUCUAUUUAGAACUGUGGUAGGUGAGUAAUGUCCCCUACUAGAAAGGAGAGGGCAAGGCUGGUGCCAGCCGCCGCGGUAAAACCAGCUCUUCAAGUGGUCGGGAUAAUUAUUGGGCUUAAAGUGUCCGUAGCCGGUUUAGUAAGUUCCUGGUAAAAUCGGGUAGCUUAACUAUCUAUAUGCUAGGAAUACUGCUAUACUAGAGGGCGGGAGAGGUCUGAGGUACUACAGGGGUAGGGGUGAAAUCUUAUAAUCCUUGUAGGACCACCAGUGGCGAAGGCGUCAGACUGGAACGCGCCUGACGGUGAGGGACGAAAGCCAGGGGAGCGAACCGGAUUAGAUACCCGGGUAGUCCUGGCCGUAAACGAUGCAUACUAGGUGAUGGCACGGCCAUGAGCCGUGUCAGUGCCGUAGGGAAACCGUUAAGUGUGCCGCCUGGAAGUACGUCGCAAGC